CUUAAUUUUCAAUAUAUAUUUUCAGAAUAAACAAACUUCAAAUGGAUACCUAAAUCUUUCUCCCUCUGCAAGGGCUUUAGAGUAUAUAUCCUGGUCGUUUCUGCAUUUACCUGUGUGCGUGCCGCCUCAAGUGCGCUAUAAGUAGACCCGUUGUAUCCUGUAUCUAUCUGCCAUAUCCCCAUGCCUUUUGGAUCUGUGUGAAAGCGUCUAGUUACAGAAUUUUGUGGUAAGUAAAACAUUGCAGCCCGGGACUACAGUAGAGUCGAGUUACAUGACACUCACACACAUACGGAUGAGAGAAACCCGGGGAAAGCCAGGCAACUAACCCGCACAAGUUGCAUUCUGGGUCAUCUUUGGACAGGCCUCCGGGGAACAGCGAGGUCCGCAUCCCGUAAAAGUGGCUCCAACACGGAUGCACGUAGCCACACAUCGGAGUAUAUAUAUGGUACAAGUACGAGUACCAGUUACGAGCAUCGCUGCGGUGCACCUCAAAUAUUAUUACUAGCAUUCUUACCGAUAUUGCCGUGUACAGGACAGGACGCUACAACCCACCCACCCACACAUCGGUGAGGGGAGUAGCCGCUGCCACUUGCAUGCCAACUGGACAUGUAUUAAGGCCAACUUCAACUUGUUAUCGUCGGACAAGCCGCAGGCCACACCAAAACGAGGGGUUGGGGUAUGCCGAUUGAACCAUCGGAGAAUGGCAUGCUGGGAAUUCGUUCGCGGAUCGAACUUUUUUAUUUCAAGGACUCACUCAAAAAAUGUAGCCAUGAAUUUUCAUAGCAACUAUAAUGGGUUUUAUGAAAUAAUAUGUUAUGUGCUGGGGCUUUUCAAGGCUUACGAAGCUAAAGUGAAAUUAAUUGAAAGCGAUUUAAUGGGAAACUGAAAUUUAUGGCAUAUUUAUAGUAUUUUUCAGGUAAACGUAACGAAAUUGAUUGCAUAAAGUCUUGGUGGUGGUUAAAGCGGCAACAUGAUGACAUAUUUACGAAACCCGAGUGAGUGCAGCGACAUAAUGAAAUAUGGCGGAAUAUGCAGUGCAAAAUGUUGAAAUACAAUUAUCACACAAGGCGGCAUUUGUUGUUGCUUUGCGAAGCGCUCUUCAAAAACUUUGUGCAGUACACGCAGUCGAGCGCUUAAUUUGCAACAUUUCUUUGUCACAGGCACAAGAACAAAAAGGGCAGGAGGAGGGACAACGAACGCGGCAACGAGUGCGGCAAUAACAGCCACUGCUGUUCACGGCAACAACCACGCUGUUGCUGGCUGGAAACACGCCUUAAAGGACGACGACUACAGCGACAACGACAGCGGCGGAAGCUCGCACAUUGUAAAUAAGAUGUAAUAAUUUUAAAACGCAAAAACCUAACAAAAAGGAGCACAAGGAUGCUGCGCGAAAGGAAGAGAGGCUUUUUUUAAAUACUAUUCGCAGGGGUUGCAUGCAUGUCUGAGUACGAAAAAAAUGUAUAAAAAAGCUGGAAACAAGUGGCAGGGAUUAGCUGCGAAACGAAGCUGCAAAUACCCUAGGAAAUUUGUUCUCAGAUUUGUAAUUGUCCUUUAAGGAUUAGCUUUUUGUUGUUACAAAAACAAAUUAAUUGUUGAAGUAUUUAGGUAACAAAGAGAUAGAGAUAACACCUUUUAAAUUAAU